rnacentral:lncRNA from 1 species
GAACCUCUUUGCGCACUGUUAAGACAGUUGAUGCCAUUACCUCAUGAGAUCAUGAUGUUAUUAAAGGGACUUUUUAGAAAAAAUAAAAGGCAAUCUUUUCCAGGUAUGUUUCCUGCAGGGAUGUGGUGAGCAUUCAGCUCAGGACUGCGUUGGACUGCAGAUGACAGAAGCUGGGGAUAAAAGCAUAGCCGGGUGGGGUCCCUUUUCCUUAGAUCAACUCUACUGUAGCCUACUUCAUAAUGCUGGGACUCAGAGGCCUACAAACUACAUCUCCCAGGAUUCACUUCAGCUGGCUCCGAACUAGGACUCCUCCUCCUGACAAGGAAGCUAGCCGCUGGCCAGUGUACUUAGCCCAGACAGUACUGCUAGCCACAGAGUUCGAGGAGGGAGGACUGCCCCUGACUCUGGGCAGUCACUGAUCCCCGGAACAACCCCAACUUAACUUUCCAGAAAGAAAAAGGUGCAAUGGGCGAGAUGCACUUUCCAUCUUUCUCAGCUCAUUUUGGAACAAGAAA